UUAAGCGACUAAGCGUACACGGUGGAUGCCCUGGCAGUCAGAGGCGAUGAAGGACGUGCUAAUCUGCGAAAAGCGUCGGUAAGGUGAUAUGAACCGUUAUAACCGGCGAUGUCCGAAUGGGGAAACCCAGUGUGAUUCGUCACACUAUCGUUAACUGAAUACAUAGGUUAACGAGGCGAACCGGGGGAACUGAAACAUCUAAGUACCCCGAGGAAAAGAAAUCAACCGAGAUUCCCCCAGUAGCGGCGAGCGAACGGGGAGCAGCCCAGAGUCUGAAUCAGCUUGUGUGUUAGUGGAACGGUCUGGAAAGUCCGACGGUACAGGGUGAUAGUCCCGUACACCAAAAUGCACAGGUUGUGAACUCGAAGAGUAGGGCGGGACACGUGGUAUCCUGUCUGAAUAUGGGGGGACCAUCCUCCAAGGCUAAAUACUCCUGACUGACCGAUAGUGAACCAGUACCGUGAGGGAAAGGCGAAAAGAACCCCGGCGAGGGGAGUGAAAAAGAACCUGAAACCGUGUACGUACAAGCAGUGGGAGCACCUUCGGGUGUGACUGCGUACCUUUUGUAUAAUGGGUCAGCGACUUAUAUUCUGUAGCAAGGUUAACCGUAUAGGGGAGCCGCAGGGAAACCGAGUCUUAACUGGGCGUUAAGUUGCAGGGUAUAGACCCGAAACCCGGUGAUUCAGCCAUGGGCAGGUUGAAGGUUGGGUAACACUAACUGGAGGACCGAACCGACUAAUGUUGAAAAAUUAGCGGAUGACUUGUGGCUGGGGUGAAAGGCCAAUCAAACCGGGAGAUAGCUGGUUCUCCCGAAAGCUAUUUAGGUAGCGCCUCGUGAACUCAUCUUCGGGGGUAGAGCACUGUUUCGGCUAGGGGGUCAUCCCGACUUACCAACCCGAUGCAAACUACGAAUACCGAAGAAUGUUAUCACGGGAGACACACGGCGGGUGCUAACGUCCGUCGUGAAGAGGGAAACAACCCAGACCGCCAGCUAAGGUCCCAAAGUCAUGGUUAAGUGGGAAACGAUGUGGGAAGGCACAGACAGCCAGGAUGUUGGCUUAGAAGCAGCCAUCAUUUAAAGAAAGCGUAAUAGCUCACUGGUCGAGUCGGCCUGCGCGGAAGAUGUAACGGGCUAAACCAUGCACCGAAGCUGCGGCAGCGACACUAUGUGUUGUUGGGUAGGGGAGCGUUCUGUAAGCCUGCGAAGGUGACCUGUGAGGGUUGCUGGAGGUAUCAGAAGUGCGAAUGCUGACAUAAGUAACGAUAAAGCGGGUGAAAAGCCCGCUCGCCGGAAGACCAAGGGUUCCUGUCCAACGUUAAUCGGGGCAGGGUGAGUCGACCCCUAAGGCGAGGCCGAAAGGCGUAGUCGAUGGGAAACAGGUUAAUAUUCCUGUACUUGGUGUUACUGCGAAGGGGGGACGGAGAAGGCUAUGUUAGCCGGGCGACGGUUGUCCCGGUUUAAGCAUGUAGGCUGGUUAUCCAGGCAAAUCCGGAUAAUCAAGGCUGAGGUGUGAUGACGAGGCACUACGGUGCUGAAGUAACAAAUGCCCUGCUUCCAGGAAAAGCCUCUAAGCAUCAGGUAACAUCAAAUCGUACCCCAAACCGACACAGGUGGUCAGGUAGAGAAUACCAAGGCGCUUGAGAGAACUCGGGUGAAGGAACUAGGCAAAAUGGUGCCGUAACUUCGGGAGAAGGCACGCUGGUGUAGGUGAAGUCCCUGCGGAUGGAGCUGAGACCAGUCGAAGAUACCAGCUGGCUGCAACUGUUUAUUAAAACACAGCACUGUGCAAACACGAAAGUGGACGUAUACGGUGUGACGCCUGCCCGGUGCCGGAAGGUUAAUUGAUGGGGUUAUCCGUAAGGAGAAGCUCUUGAUCGAAGCCCGGUAAACGGCGGCCGUAACUAUAACGGUCCUAAGGUAGCGAAAUUCCUUGUCGGGUAAGUUCCGACCUGCACGAAUGGCGUAAUGAUGGCCAGGCUGUCUCCACCCGAGACUCAGUGAAAUUGAACUCGCUGUGAAGAUGCAGUGUACCCGCGGCAAGACGGAAAGACCCCGUGAACCUUUACUAUAGCUUGACACUGAACAUUGAGCCUUGAUGUGUAGGAUAGGUGGGAGGCUUUGAAGCGUGGACGCCAGUCUGCGUGGAGCCAACCUUGAAAUACCACCCUUUAAUGUUUGAUGUUCUAACGUUGGCCCCUGACCGGGGUUGCGGACAGUGUCUGGUGGGUAGUUUGACUGGGGCGGUCUCCUCCCAAAGCGUAACGGAGGAGCACGAAGGUUAGCUAAUCCUGGUCGGACAUCAGGAGGUUAGUGCAAUGGCAUAAGCUAGCUUGACUGCGAGCGUGACGGCGCGAGCAGGUGCGAAAGCAGGUCAUAGUGAUCCGGUGGUUCUGAAUGGAAGGGCCAUCGCUCAACGGAUAAAAGGUACUCCGGGGAUAACAGGCUGAUACCGCCCAAGAGUUCAUAUCGACGGCGGUGUUUGGCACCUCGAUGUCGGCUCAUCACAUCCUGGGGCUGAAGUAGGUCCCAAGGGUAUGGCUGUUCGCCAUUUAAAGUGGUACGCGAGCUGGGUUUAGAACGUCGUGAGACAGUUCGGUCCCUAUCUGCCGUGGGCGCUGGAGAAUUGAGGGGGGCUGCUCCUAGUACGAGAGGACCGGAGUGGACGCAUCACUGGUGUUCGGGUUGUCAUGCCAAUGGCACUGCCCGGUAGCUAAAUGCGGAAGAGAUAAGUGCUGAAAGCAUCUAAGCACGAAACUUGCCCCGAGAUGAGUUCUCCCUGAGACUAUAAGUCUCCUGAAGGAACGUUGAAGACGACGACGUUGAUAGGCCGGGUGUGUAAGCGCAGCGAUGCGUUGAGCUAACCGGUACUAAUGAACCGUGAGGCUUAACCU
rnacentral:rRNA from 1 species